UGUUGUUCUGUGCUCUAGACAUUUGCUCAUGGUAAAUAAAGCAAAUUUACCAUAGCUUUAUUUCUUAGCAUUAGAAAGAGUAAAAUAAUUUCUCUUAAGCAGGUAGGUAGAUCUAGCUUAGAAUGCUAGAGUUGGGAAAACGUUGGCAGUUUUGGUUAGUCUAAUCAGAAUUUAAAUAUAAUGAGAAAACUUGCACUUUCAAGGCUUCUGUUAUAAAUGCUGUGGUACAGCCGCCAAGAUCCAUUUGCAAAUGAAUUCACACCAGCUUUCAAGUCCAGAGGUAUUUUAAUAAAGCAUGUUUGUUUAAAAUAGGCUACACUCCUGGGACCCAACAUGUCAUAUCCACAUAUUUAGAAUUCAUCUAGAGAUGUCCAUUAAAGAUAGAGGGGAAAAUAACCAAGAUAAGUCUGGUUGAGAAGGGCACUUGGUUGCCAGCAGGGACCCACCUACUUGUUGGAUUUUUCUAACUUGUGGCUCCUUGGCUUCACAGUAGAUCAGACUGUCUGGAAAGUAAAUUGAGUGUCCUACUGGCCUUGGAAGGAGCAGAGGCUGAGCUAUUCUGACAAAUGUGCUGUAGUCUCAGGGAUUCCUUCUUUGGGAAUGUUGUUUUUUUCGAAACGGGCUCUGCACUGACAUGUUUAGAUGUUCAGGGACAUUAUUAGUGACCGGUACCCCUGUGGUGAAUCUCUGCUCUAGCUUAAAGCCAAAUUCCCUCUCCAGAUCCAGAGGGACUGGGGAGAAUGGCUUUGCUCAAACCCUACCUUGGACCUCUAGAUUUACCUCCUAAUGGUUCAAUUCUUGUACCGAGUUCUCUGGAACAAGCUGGAAAGUUCCUCUGCUGCAAGAUACCAUUAUUAGGACAAGAACAACUUUAGGGUUUGCCUAGCCUGAAGACCUUUGUGAAAAGUUAGCUUUUAAGCAAAUACCCAAAAGCACUUUUUAAUGCCACGUUAGCGUGAGAGAAUGUCCUGUUCGAUGUGUGUGGCCAAACCACACUCAGGGACUUUUCCUCGCAGCUCUGAAACCCGGCAUGUGGAAGUGAUUGUCUGGAGAAGGGAGCUGCUGCAGGCACAGGGUGAAGAUUCCAUAGCAACACCCAAAACCGGUUCUGGAAGCCACGGAACAAUUAAGUUCUGUUGUCCAGGAAUGCAUUCUCAACGCAGCCAUUUCCUGAAUACCCCAAGAGACUGAAGAAGAAAAGGCUCAAGGCCAGACUUGAGGGAUACCUUUGCUGCUCUGUGCAGACAAGGUUCCUUACUCCCCACCGACGUUUUAAGUGAAUGUGUGGCAGUCAUUCCUGGGCAGUCUACUGAGAUCAUGUUAGCAGGAGGGGUAAAUUCUCUAUGACGUUGAAUAGUCAACCUCCCAACCUUAGAAACCAGGUUGGAACUGUAAACCACGACAAAACAGAAAAAUCAGUUGGGUGGUGAUUUGGUGGUUACGAAAGUCUGAAAUUGUCACUGAGAAGGCACAACGCAGUUCUGUGCCGAUCUCCAUGGAGUUUCCCCUACGCCAAAAUCAUUUCAAACGCUUGACAUCUCAACCAUUAGCAAUAGGAUAAAGGGGGCCAACUAGACUCUGGGUUACAUGACAAAGUCACCGAUUCACCCUUGUGUUCUUUCUCCUUCCACUGUUGUGACGUUCGGGGUGCUGGGUAGACGUGGCUGAACUCAGGUUAUUCACUUGUUCACGCGAGUGUUUGUCAUUCUCUUUCUCCAUGUCGUCCCUCUGACUGAAACUGGCCUGGGCCUAAGACCAGGGAAAAUGGCAGCUCCUAAGAUCCUCUGAGAGCUGAAUGUGGAGAUGGGAUCACUUUGUUGCCUUUCCAAGCUUGAGCCGUCAUGUUCCCUUUACUUUGAAGCAGGGCAACAUCAAGCCUGUUUAUCAGUUCUGAGCCCUCGUUCCUCUGCUUGUAAACUGGAAUGCGUAAUGCCUCGCUGAUGGAAAAAACUGGAAACAAGCGAAAUACUGCAAAUAGGGAAUUCAUAGAUGUGACUGUCCUGGAUGUGGUGACAGAUCUCUGCAUUGGACGUAAGACCAGGUUUGCCAACAAAUAGUUCGGGACUUGUGGUCGCUUACACUUUCUGGGCGUCAGCUUCCUCAACUCUCCGCCAGGAAUCCAGAUGAUGCCUAAGCUCCCGUGAAACUUGAAAUGUACAUAUGCAUUUGCUGGCGAGGUGGAGGUGGCUGAAAAGCAAGAGUGUGAGACAGCGGAGAAAUGUCAGAAAGACAAGUUGGAGGUUAGGAAGCAGUUUCCUGAACCGGACCUAAUCUGUUACAAGCCACAUGGCUGCUAGCUCACCCCUCUGCGUCCCAGGCAAGAAUUGUGCCGGUGAAUCCAUAGAAGCUGAGCUCUCUCACUAGUCAAAAAGACUGCUUAGGGGAAGCUUUAUAUUUCUUUGGGUUGGGUUUUGUUGGCAGCUUCUUGUUAGGAUUUGUUUUAUUUAUUUUGUAAUGCAUGUCUUUUUUUUUUUUUAAGUUUAUUUAUCUUGAAAGAGAGAGAGCAUGA